rnacentral:rRNA from 1 species
UAGAGUUUGAUCCUGGCUCAGAGUGAACGCUGGCGGCGUGGUUUAGGCAUGCAAGUCGAACGAUCUCGCAAGAGAUAGUGGCAAAAGGGUGAGUAACACGUGAGUAAUCUGCCCUCGGGAUGGGAAUAACCUGCCGAAAGGCGGGCUCAAACCGAAUAUGACCACGACCCUUAAGGGUUGAGGUAAAAAGUGGGGACCCCGAGUAAUCGGGGCCUAUUGCCUGAGGAUGUGCUCGCGUCCUAUCAGCUUGUUGGCGGGGUAAUGGCCCACCAAGGCGACGACGGGUAGCUGGUCUGAGAGGAUGGUCAGCCACAUUGGGACUGAGACACUGCCCAGACUCCUACGGGAGGCUGCAGUCGAGGAUCUUUUGCAAUGCCCGAAAGGGUGACAAUGCGACGCCGCGUGAGCGAUGAAGGCCUUCGGGUCGUAAAGCUCUGUCACGUGGGAUGAAUCUCUGGGCUUUGAACAAAGGCUCAGGGUGACAGUACCAUGAGAGGAAGCCACGGCUAACUCCGUGCCAGCCGCCGCGGUAAUACA